rnacentral:lncRNA from 1 species
GUCUUUUGUCUUUUUUUUCUUGUUAUUUUUGCUAUCUCUUGGUUCUUGGGCCGCUCCCGCGGCAUAUGGAGGUUCCCAGGCUAGGGGUUGAAUUGGAGCUGUAGCCACAGGCCUACGCCAGAGCCACAGCAACGCGGGAUCCGAGCCGAAUCUGCAACCUACACCACAGCUCACGGCAACGCCGGAUCGUUAACCCACUGAGCAAGGGAAGGGACCGAACCCGCAACCUCAUGGUUCCUAGUCGGAUUCGUUAACCACUGCGCCACGACGGGAACUCCUGCUGCAGCUGUUUUUAUUAUAAAAGAUGCUAAAUUUCUGGAAGGCAGGGCCGUGCUCAUCUUUGUAUCUCAGGUGACCGUGGAGAGGGUGUGCGCAAGGGUGAACUUGAGUGACAGCAGCCAAAAGUGGACUGAGUUCCCUGGCCACCCAGAAGUCGGCUCCUGCUCUGGGAUUUCCUCCUCACGUUGUCCAGAAGGCGCUUAGCACGUAGUAUGUGCUCCUAAAAUUUCCUCAUCAAUUGCGAAAAUACAAGCCACUUGUCUUAGUCUGUUUGAGGCGCGAUAAGAAAAUACCGCAGACUGGGUGGCUUACAACCAAAGGAAAUGCCUUCCUCACUGUCCUGGAGCCCAGAAACCGAGCCCAGGGUCCCAGCACCGCUGAGUGAGGGCCCCUCUGGGUUGGCAGACGCUUCCUGUGUCCCCACGUGGUGGAAGGGCCAGGGACUUCUUUGCAAGGGCGCGGGUCCCACUGAAGAGGCCCCUCCCUCACAGUGUAUUCAAGACCCCUUCCGGCUCCCACCCCAGGGUUGGGAGCUCACCCCAAGAAUUUGAGGAACACAGACGUUCAGACCACAGCGCCACCUUUCAAAACAGACCCGAGGGCGCGAAGGAGCAGAGACCCGCAGAGCAGCCUCGGCCUCAGGAGUGGCCGCGGGGCGGGGGGCUGCCCUGGUGUCUGUGCGUCCUUCCCGCGUCCUUCUCACUCCUGUUUCCGAGGCGCAGCAACUCCAGGGUCUGAAUCGUGCUAGCAGUUGCUCAAUGAUGCCACAGCAUAUGCAGGGGAUUCUGGCAGGAACCGGGAUUGCAGAAGCAAAAGCCCCCCACCAAAGGUUUACGGCUUCUUGUCUGUCACCAGCUGAUUGUAAAGCUGAACCUAAAUAUGUCAUUCGUUCCGUGCAAACUCUCCAGCUGCAAACUCUAACUGUGAGCGUCAGGGCCCUCGGAGCUCCCUCCUCGUAGACAGAGGAGAGGCUCUGACCCCGAGGCCUGGGAGGGGCUCCCGGGCUCCUGGUCCCCCGGUCCCGGGGCUCACAGCCAUCCCGCGGGGCAGGAGGGUGCAGGCCCAGAGAGGAGAGCCCUGGUGUAAGUCCAUCCUGCCCUCCAGCCCGCGGCUUCCCAGGGGCAGAAGGCCUUCCAGGGGCACCCUCCUCGGAUCCUCAACACGAUCCUGAGAAGAGGGCAAAGGGAUGUCAUGAGCUCCGUUUUCAGAGGGAAACUCAUUUUCAGAACUGCAACUCGCUGGAGGCCACAGAGCCAGCCGUGGGCUCCAGGGUCCCGCCUGGAGUUCAGAGAAGCCCAGGCUUCGACUCCCUCCAAGACUAUGUGAGCCGCCCCUGGAGGGGCGCCUACUGCACCCCAAUGCCACGCACGCACUCAGGAGCUGGACCAGCCAGAGGGGAAACCGGCUCCCUGUGUUCGGGGGAGAGGACGUAGGUGCGAUGGGGUUUGCAGAGCUGAUCCAGGUCUUACCCUGGCCCCCCUGGCCCCGGCAUUCCCUUCAUUUAAGCAUUAUUUAAAGAAUUUCUAUUUAUAAAGAGCACAUAAUCCUGAGAUAUGUGAUACUUUAUGUCGCUAUUGAUUCAAAAACCAUUUGUUUUUCACACAGUGGGGAGGGUGGCAGGGUUGGUAUGGGUCCGCCUUCUCUCUCUGCCACACACGCACUCGCGCACACACACGUGCAUGCGUGCGCACCGGGUUUCAGGCCCUCUCUUCCCGCAGGGAGAGAACACCAGAGCAUGGAGAUUACAAGGGUUUGGACACAGGAUUUAGGGAGAGUUACAGACGUAAGAGCAUGUUUUUAUCCAGAUUUACUGAAGCGCAGCAUCUCGGCACAGUGACUACCUCGCGGCUCUGGGGCGCGCUCUGCUCUCCACGUGGCCGACUGAGGCUGCUGCAGGAGGUCCCCCUGGAUGGCAGGACAGAGGGGUGGCCUGGGAGCCCCUGGCCCUUGACAAAAGCACCAGGGAGAGCAGCCCGAGACGAGCUCGGCUCAGCCCAGGGUGGCAGGAAUCAGGACAGACAAGGAGAUGAGACGAGGCGCCAUGAGAUGCAAACACAUCGUGGUGUCCCCACAGGAGGAGAUGGGCACGGGUGUCAGGUCACCAAUUAGGAGCCAACUCUACGGUGGGGGCAGGAGGCUGUCAGGAGGACGCACGGCUGAGCUUUCGCGGUUCUUGGGGUCCCAAGAUACCAACCAGAGGAGCUUCCUGGGGGAGGAGACAGUAGGGACGAGAGGGCAGAGGGAAGAGAGGAGGGCAGGUCCGCAGGUUCUGAGGAUGCAGGAAGCCUCCCCCGCCCUCCAUGGGCCAGAGGGUCAGGCUCGGGCUUUAGACCAGCGGCCCCGAGAACAGAGUGCAGGGGGAGGGGUCGUGACACAGGGUGGGGGUCGCAGAGGAGAGGAGCCCAACCCUCCACCCCUGACCUGGGGUGCCCCUCGGGCAGAGUCGCCGCCCACCACACCAGGACCAAGGCAUUUCCAGUCGCAAGCUUGCUGGGUUUUCGGGGCUCUAGCAGCAUAUGAAUGAAAAGUCCCUCCUGUUCACAAAGCUCAAAAGUGAGGAAUCUUUGGAAUUUUUGAAAUUACACUGUAUCUGAUGGCCCUGUGAUGUUAUGUGUAGUUGCAGCUGUUGGUAAAGGUUAUCAACAUAGGCACUUCACUAUUCCUGGUGCACUUUCUUGCAGAAUAUGUGCUAGAAAAAUUAGUUUGGAAACACCCAAAAUCUAUAGAAAAGUGCAAACGUAAAAAUUCCUUCUGAUAAAUUUUAAUUUUAAUGUGUCUAUGGAUGUUGUAUCUUUGCCAAAUAAUUCUACUUCCUGGGGUAAGAAGAAAGACAGACAAAAAGAAGGGAACAAGGCAGGUGAGAAGGAGACGCGAGGGAGGGAGGGCUGGAAAUGCUCGGAGCAGACCCAGAGCAGGCGAGGUCGCUGGCGUUUUGAAGGCUUGGGAAACACUGUGACUACCUAUGGGAGAGGCCCUGGCAAUCGUGUUUUGAUAUUAUCCAGUCUGUAGUGAUUAAUAACGGUAAACAAGGAGACAGACAUAUCUUCAGUGUCAAUGCACGCACGUGUUCAAAGGAACACUUUUGACAAAGUAGAACAAAACCAGGGCCGCCUGCACCAGAAGAUGAAAUGGACGUGUGCAGUGUUGCCAGGGACGCGGGGCAGAAGGAAAUACAGCAAGAAAGAUUCAGUUGUGCAAAGACACACUUGAUUGAUUGAUUGAUUGAUUGAUUGAAGUUUCGGGUUUUUAGGGCCGCACCUGUGACAUCUGGAAGUUCCCAGGCCAGGGGUUGAAUGGGAGCUGCAGCUGCCAGCCUACACCACAGCCACUGCAACGCGGGAUCUGAGAAGCGUCUGCCACCUGCACUGCAGCUUGAGACAAUGCUGGGUCCUUAACCCACUGAGCGAGGCCAGGGAUUGAACCUGCAUCCUUGUGGAUACUAGUCAGCUUUGUUGCCACUGAGCCACAACAGGAAUCGGGUUCUCCUUCUGUGAUGAUGCAGCACCCCGACCCCCACUGUAAUCGCAGGUGGCCUGACUCAGGACAACUCCUCACCGUACGUUUGCACUUUUCUAUAGAUAUUGGGUGUUUCCAAACUAAUUUUUCUAGCACAUAUUCUGCAGCGCGAGGCUCUGGAGAUGGACGUGAUGGGGUCACAGCCUGCCUGUCAUGACCUGGGGACACAAUUGUGUCCUGCUGUCUGUGAAGUGGGGACAGUCACUGUAUCCAGCUGAGAAGGGCCAGCAGAAGGACUAGUGGGGAUGGCACAGCUGGAACCCUGGGGACUCCCCACAUGUCUGCUCCCCAACAACAGUUAAGCACAGCCUCCGAUGCAUCCAGUGACCCUUUUCUUCCCUUCUUCUGUCUCGGGCAGCUCAGGCUGCUGCAACAAGCACACCCCAGUGGGCUACGUCCUGCCUGCCUGGUGCACCUGCAUUGCAGGCAGGGCGGAGCGGGGCAAGCAGACUCUGGAGUCUUUUAUCAGGUCGCUAAUCCCUCCACAAGGGCCCCACCCUCGCGACCCAGUCACCUUGGGGGUCGGGGCUUCAGUAGAUGAGUUUAGGGCACACAAGCUUUCAGGCCACAACAGUGCCUGAUGAGCCUUUCACCCUGACAUGGUUCCUUGUGGAAGGUGUGAGCUUUAAAAAACAGUAAAGAGCAAAGCGAUUGUCGCUAAGGAGGGAUUAGGGCAUUUUUAGCAGGGAUUAUGCAAUCCUGAUGUAUUAUUUAAGUGAAAUACACCAGUCACUCUGUACUUUAUGCCUUCUUUCUAUGUCCUUGUGUUUUAAAAGCUCUAUAAAAAGCGAAUGACUCAGCAUGAAUUGCAUUGUGUGCAAACAAAUACAUCCUUCUGCCUGGUGCCCAGAUGCGGGAGGGUGAACCCAGGCUGUCCUGAUUCCCACGUUCCUUCGUGGUGAGGUUUCAUCACCCUCCAGAGCCAAAGCACUGAACGCAAGGAAAUGGGGGUCUCGACGGACAGAAAUGGGGGCAAAUCCCAUAAGCUUAUGUCCCAUCGCACUCCUCAUGGGUGCGCAGGGCAUGCGGCCAGCCUCCAACAGCAACGGCCUGGACCCACCCGUCACCUGCCCGGGCCUAAACUUCACCCUAGUCUGUGGGGGCUUCAGGCCACUCCUGGUUUCCAAUCCUGUCUGCAUUUCACAUGGUGUUUGUGUAAACAUCACAGGGUCAGAACCACCCUAACCACCCACUAUGCAACUCUACAACAAACAAUGAAACUCUUAGAGCCUGUAAAAUCAGAGUCAGAAGGUGGGGUCAGUGCCUAUAAACUGGUCUCCAGCUCGCUCUUCAUUCGCUGCUAAAAAGACCUAUAAUUUCAAUGAAGAAAGCCGGCCAAGAGGGAUGAUCUCUCCCUCAAAACCACUUAGCGAAGACAGCCAUUCUGUUCACACUUGAACGUUUCGGUGGUUUAGGGAAGAAGAGGCAGGUGCUAGGAGAGGGAUAUGCCUCAUUUGCUGUCAACCGACAGGUCCACCCAACCACGCAAGCGUACCCAAGCUCAGUGACAGUCACGUGAAACAAGAGGACAGCCGCCUCUGGAGGAGCAAGUUCCCUGGGUGCACAGGAAGCGUGUAAAGCAGAACCAGGUCUGAGACCAUCCUUCUUCAGGAAGGAGAGUGAGCAGGUCAGGAUUCUGUAAGCGGACACCUGGGCACCUGCUCAAGUGCCCCCGAGCUGCACGGGGGUGGUGGGGGCAGGUGGGGCAAGGGGCCUUGUUACACAUCCUUCUAGUUGCUUCCAGAUUAACUGCCCCCGAGCAGGGGUCUUGGUGGACCUGCCUUGACCCUUUACUACACAUUGCUGCCUGUGCCAUGAGCUGCCCCCAGCUGCAGGUGUGGACGUAGGUGUGGACCAUCAGACUGUGGUCUCAUGUGUUAGCCUUUCAUUGACACGUCCGUCUUGAAAAUUCUUGUCUUACACGCCAUGCAACUAUAAAAAAGUCCGUUUGUAUGAUAAAACCCAAUGAAAAAUGCAGACAUUUUGAACAAAUCUGUAUAAAAAUGAAAAGCAUUCAAGACCAGACAACCAGUUUGCUUUAACAUAGCUUAAAAUUUCUUUCUGUGAUGAGAAAAAUUCAAAGCGAGGACAGGUACGUGACCCACCCAAGGCCACACCGGGGUCUGAGCCAGGUCUCAGGAUGUAAAGUCCCUGUCACCAUCUGCUCAGCGUGUCCGCCGUGAUGGGUGGACAGCAAAAGUGAGCCAUCCCUCGGGAGGUGGGGCUGACCAUCCCUGUGCCCGCGGACGGCAGCCGUGACGGGACGCUGGUCCAGCCGCUGUGACGCGGGUCCAGGAAGGCGCUACAUCGCAGCUACAGACGACUGGCUACGCGCCGUGAGGGUGCAGGUGAAGCGGGAGACCCGGCAUCCGAAGGCGUGGUCC